rnacentral:rRNA from 1 species
CUGCUAAAUAGCCCAGUCGGCUACGGCUGGCUGUUGGCUUCUUAGAGGGACUAUCGACGUUUAGUCGAUGGAAGUUGGAGGCAAUAACAGGUCUGUGAUGCCCUUAGAUGUUCUGGGCCGCACGCGCGCUACACUGACCGAGCCAGCGAGUAUAUCACCUUAUCCGGAAGGAUUG